UCAUGCGUCGGCCGCCUUUAUAGCUGAGACGCGCCGGGACCUCGGGGCUGCCUUCGGGCGGGACCCGCCAAUCAGGAGUGGGAGCGGGCGCCGGGGCGGGGCUUCGCCCGCCGGGCUCGCGGGGGUCCACGAGGCGGCCCGCGCGGCCCUACCCGGCCCGCCAGCGGCCCCACGGCGGCUUUAGGGUCUGCCCCGGCCGCCCGCCCCUGCCGCCCGCCGGGCGAAGACACGAGAAGGGAAGGUCCGGAGGGUGAGGAUGCUCAGCUCCCCCCGCACGGCCGCCUCCAGGGACCGUCGGGGAGGCGGGCGGAGAGGCCACCUACCGGCGCCCUGCUCGGGGCGGGGACCCUGCUGCCCCCCACGCGUGGGAGUCUGAUGGAGAAGCGCCGCCCUGCGGGAGCGGAGCCGAGAGGAGGGCUGGCGGGCGGCAGGUGCCGGGGAAGCGACCAGUGAGUGUCAGCGGGGAACGGGUUAACGUCGUCUGCCCGUAUUGAGCUGAUGAGAAGCUGCGACGGAGCGGCAGGGCGGCUAAAUCCACCGCCCUGUGCCUACACUUGACGGCGGGAGCACGUCUGCCAUCCAGUAUCGAUCGAGGCUGCGCGCGUCUGUGAUACUAUGAGAAUUCAUCUGGGAAGAAGGGCUCUCAGUGCGGGAGACGGAGCGUGCCUGGCAAGCCUCUGGAGCUCAGGACGCCUGCAGAUAACUCAGAUGGCUGUGUUGGAGUAAACCUCUGGAGCUGCGGAGAUGUGGAGAAGAAGACACCUCAGCUAUAUUUUGGUUGGUGUUCGCAUGAAUCAGAGAUUGCUGCCAAGGACCCAUCGAGAACUGAUUCAAGAUAAUACUUUCCUUGGACAGUUGUGAAGAUAGUUUUACUUCAUUCUGCAAAAAUUCAUUGAACACCUGUUAUGGAAAUAUAAAGAUACAAGCCAUAGCCUCUGCUCACAAGGGAAAGAAAGCAUAACUCUAAAGAGAAUCCUAGUCAUAUUUAUUCGCUUUGCUACCGACCCUCAAAGGUUCUGAUUCUCCAAGUCUGAGGAGGAUUCUGAGCAUCUCUGCUUCUUAAAAACUCCACAGCCUUCAAGAAAGUCUCUGAAAGAACAGAGAUUUCAAGGACCACAGAUGACGAGAUACACAGACUUUGCAAACACACUUAGGAAAAGUCACUAAAUGAUAGACUGCUAUAGCCUUCAAUAAUCAAAAAAUAAAAAACA
rnacentral:lncRNA from 1 species